CAGCACCACAAGUGGCGGUCACGAUUAUUGGGCCUAAAGCGUCCGUAGCCGGUUAGGUAAAUCUCUUGUGAAAUCGACGCGCUUAACGUGUCGGCUUGCAGGAGACACUGCCCAACUAGGAACCGGGAAGAGUCAGAAGUAUUAUUGGGGUAGCGGUAAAAUGCUAUAAUCCUUUUAAGACUACCGAUGGCGAAGGCAUCUGACUAGAACGGCUUCGACGGUGAGGGACGAAAGCCAGGGGAGCAAACCGGAUUAGAUACCCGUGUAGUCC
rnacentral:rRNA from 1 species